CCUACGGGGCGCUGCAGUGGGGAAUAUUGGACAAUGGGCGAAAGCCUGAUCCAGCCAUGCCGCGUGUGUGAAGAAGGCCUUCGGGUUGUAAAGCACUUUCAGUGGGGAAGAAAGCCUUGGGGCUAAUACCCUCGAGGAAGGACAUCACCCACAGAAGAAGCACCGGCUAACUCCGUGCCAGCAGCCGCGGUAAUACGGAGGGUGCGAGCGUUAAUCGGAAUUACUGGGCGUAAAGCGCGCGUAGGCGGUCUGAUAAGCCGGUUGUGAAAGCCCCGGGCUCAACCUGGGAACGGCAUCCGGAACUGUCAGGCUAGAGUGCAGGAGAGGAAGGUAGAAUUCCCGGUGUAGCGGUGAAAUGCGUAGAGAUCGGGAGGAAUACCAGUGGCGAAGGCGGCCUUCUGGACUGACACUGACGCUGAGGUGCGAAAGCGUGGGUAGCAAACAGGAUUAGAUACCCGAGUAGU
rnacentral:rRNA from 1 species